GGUUAAGUCCCGCAACGAGCGCAACCCUUAUCCCCAGUUGCCAUCAGGUAAAGACUGGGAACUCUGGGGAGACUGCCGGUGAUAAACCGGAGGAAGGCGGGGAUGACGUCAAGUCCUCAUGGCCCUUACAUCCCGGGCUACACACGUGCUACAAUGGCAGGUACAGAGGGCUGCGAAGCCGCGAGGUGGAGCGAAUCCCAGAAAACCUGUCUCAGUCCGGAUUGAAGUCUGCAACUCGACUUCAUGAAGUUGGAAUCGCUAGUAAUCGCGGAUCAGCAUGCCGCGGUGAAUACGUUCCCGGGCCUU
rnacentral:rRNA from 1 species